UACGAGGGGGCAAGCGUUGUUCGGAAUCACUGGGCUUAAAGCGCGUGUAGGCGGGCCGCCACGUCAGUCGCUGAAAUCCCCCGGCUCAACCGGGGAAGUGGCACUGAUACGAGCGGCCUGGAGGGAGGUAGGGGGGCUGGAACUUCCGGUGGAGCGGUGAAAUGCGUUGAGAUCGGAAGGAACGCCCGUGGCGAAAGCGAGCCCCUGGACCUUUUCUGACGCUGAGACGCGAAAGCUAGGGGAGCGAACGGG
rnacentral:rRNA from 1 species